rnacentral:snoRNA from 1 species
GUUGCUGUGAUGAGCCGUAACAAUAAGAAGACCAACCAAUCAAUUGGUUCUUCGGUGAAAUAUUCCUUUACGCUUGGCUUCUGAGUUGA